ACACUCCUGCGGGAGACAGCAGUGGGGAAUAUUGCACAAUGGGCGCAAGCCUGAUGCAGCCAUGCCGCGUGUAUGAAGAAGGCCUUCGGGUUGUAAAGUACUUUCAGCGGGGAGGAAGGCAAUACGGUUAAUAACCGUGUUGAUUGACGUUACCCGCAGAAGAAGCACCGGCUAACUCCGUGCCAGCAGCCGCGGUAAUACGGAGGGUGCAAGCGUUAAUCGGAAUUACUGGGCGUAAAGCGCACGCAGGCGGUCUGUCAAGUCGGAUGUGAAAUCCCCGGGCUCAACCUGGGAACUGCAUUCGAAACUGGCAGGCUUGAGUCUUGUAGAGGGGGGUAGAAUUCCAGGUGUAGCGGUGAAAUGCGUAGAGAUCUGGAGGAAUACCGGUGGCGAAGGCGGCCCCCUGGACAAAGACUGACGCUCAGGUGCGAAAGCGUGGGGAGCAAACAGGAUUAGAAACCCCGGUAGUCCCAUGAU
rnacentral:rRNA from 1 species